rnacentral:tRNA from 1 species
UGAUGGUUGGCUCAGUGGUUAGAGCUUAGGUCACUUAACCGAAAGGUCUCGGGAUUGAAUCCCGCUAGAGGCUG